rnacentral:lncRNA from 1 species
UUCAUGCCAAAAUGUGAGAGGAAGUUCUGGGCAUCCUCAUAGUGAAGAUGCUAUUGCAGGGUGAUAUAGGAAGACAGGCCUCUUGGAUAUCACACUAUGAGACAGGGCUUAUGGAGGCGAUGAGGCCCUAUAUGGCUAUUGGUGCCAUAGUUACACAGAGUUGUGGACCUCUUGUACUUCUGAUGGGAGCUGAUGCUUUUGCAUCCUUUCUUUUGCACUUCUAGCGAGCAACUUCUCCAGGACUCCACACCACAACCCUGGUGGAACCCUCUUCAGAAAAUCGAUCACCUUCCUCUCUUUCAUGUGUUGUCUUAUGUCAAGUUCUUGGAGUAUCUUAUACACAAGGAAUUUAGUCACAUUUUCUGUGGCAUAUACACUCUGUUCUCUGAGUCAGUCGUGGCUACUGCCCAUGUCCUCAGAAGCCCUUCCUCAGCAGAACAUAAAACCGUGAGGUUUUAUGAUACCAGUAGCCUUGGCCAAGCUCCUUCCCAGGCUCAAGGACCUCCAGAGUGUUCACAAGAACAGCCAUUGCCUGCACAACUUGUGACACCAAGCUCGUUACCUGUGACAAAGGCCCAACUAAUGCAAAUUUUCCCAAGCUCUACACCAAUCAAAACACCUCCUUGUUUCAAGAGGCAGGCCUUUGGAAAACCACGUCCUACCAGUGACAAAGGUA